UGAUUGUCCAAACGCAAUUCUUGUGCAUUUGAAAGCAAGAACUGUAUUUGGACAUCAGU
rnacentral:pre_miRNA from 1 species